AAAUACCAUUACAAUCGUAUUCAUCUCAUCUACUAUAAACAAUGCAAGAACAAUCAAACCAAUAAAAAAAAAAAAUACCAUUACAAUCGUAUUCAUCUCAUCUACUAUAAACAAUGCAAGAACAAUCAUCCCCAAUUUUUUUGAUCCACCAAGAAAAUAAUGAAAUUCAUCACAUAAAACAACAUGCCAAUCAAAUUCAACACAACCCAGGAACGUCAACUACCUAAACAAAUAUUCACACGAAGCUGCCCCUUCAUCACGCCGCUACGCACCUCCAAGCCCAAACUAACUUUGGUUGCAGUAAUGGAGUCGGCAAAAAUGCCAACCUUAAGAUAAAAAAAAACUUAUGAAAUAAUAAGCUUUUAAAAAAAUUUACUAAACACUAUUUUUAUUAAAAUUUAUGAAAUAAGCUACUUAUGAUUUUUCAACUUCAAUUAUAAACGGAACAAUUAUACAUAUCUCAACAAUAGCACCUAGCAGAAUACUGAUUCUACUAGAUCAUCGUAGUAAUCAUACUAAUAUAAUUAUUGGCUUAUUUAAGCCAAAUGCAUGCAUGUACAAGCUAAUUAAAUUAAAUUUGGAACUUCGGAGUACUGUUUUAAUUUCCUUGUAUCUAAUUAUGUGAUGCAUCUCUUUUUUCCUUCGAAAGUAACUUUGAUUAAUAAGUGCUGCUUGCUGGGUAUAGGAUCAGUAAUUCGCCCUUAUGUAUUAACAUAAAAUUAUAGAUUCAAGUUAAUGAAAGGCUCACGAUUCUCUAAACACUUACGUCCAAAUGCAAAUGCAUGUUGGUAGCUACUAGCUAGAUGCCUAGAUAGACACUGUAUCUGCUUGUCACAAUAAUAAUAAUAAUAAGAAAACCUCAAAUCAAUGUAAUAGUAUUGCUUGAAGGUUUCGGUCCCAUCCCAUCAAUCUUUCCUUUCAGAUAACUAUAUAUUUACUUAGAACUCAAAAAAUAUGUCCGUCUUUAUUUGAUUAUAGCUAUGGAUUGAUACCACAUAACGUUAAACAUGAAUGUCUAAGCUUGACUUAUGAACUUGCCAAUAAUUCUUAAUAGAGUUGGAUCUCACUCAUCACUCGUCUCUUGAUGGAUGAUGGUUUGGUUUGUAUCCAAUAGCUUUUUACCUUUUUUCCGAUGUAGUGUUAAACGCCUUUCUUUUUCUUUUUGUAGGAAUGAAUUUCCAAUAACAGUGGGUUAGAGGGAAGUGGAAUAAAAAUCAAUUAGGGAUGACAAUGGGGUGGGGUGGGGCCCCCACCCUGUUGAAAAUUUUUACCUCCAUUCCACAUCUCAUUCUCCAUUUAUUUAUUUUAUAAUAUGUAUAAAUAUAUUAUUUU
rnacentral:lncRNA from 1 species